GGUCCCGUCGUCUAGUGGUUAGGACACUAGGUUUUCAUCCUGGCAACAGGGGUUCGAUUCCCCUCGGGAUCACCA
rnacentral:tRNA from 1 species